rnacentral:rRNA from 1 species
GUGCCAGCAGCCGCGGUAAGACGAAGGGCGCAAGCGUUAUCCGGAAUCACUGGGCGUAAAGGACGUCUAGGCGGCCUAUCGGGUCGACGGUGAAAGUCCUCGGCUAAACUGAGGAAAGUACGUCGAAACUGGUAGGCUUGAGGAACGUAGGGGGAGGCGGAACUCUCGGAGUAGCGGUGGAAUGCGUAGAUACCGAGAGGUACCUCGAUGGCGAAGGCAGCCUCCUGGGCGUUUCCUGACGCUGAAGCGUUAAGGUCAGGGGAGCGAAGGGGAUUAGAUACCCCCGUAGUCCUGACUUCAAACGAUGUGGGCUAGGUAUCGGGACAUGAAGAGCUCGUUGCCGUAGUUAACGCGUUAAGCCCACCGCCUGGGGAUUACGUCCGCAAGGAUGAAACUCAGGGGAAUUGACGGGGGCCCACACAACCGGUGGAGCACGUGGUUUAUUUCGAUGAUAA